rnacentral:tRNA from 1 species
GAGGCUAUAGCUCAGUGGUAGAGUGCAUGCCUAGCAUGCACAAGGUCCUGAGUUCAAUCCCCAGUACCUCCA